UACGUAGGGUGCGAGCGUUAAUCGGAAUUACUGGGCGUAAAGCGUGCGCAGGCGGUUUUGUAAGCCAGAUGUGAAAUCCCCGGGCUUAACCUGGGAAUGGCAUUUGGGACUGCAAGGCUGGAGUGCGGCAGAGGAGACUGGAAUUCCUGGUGUAGCAGUGAAAUGCGUAGAUAUCAGGAGGAAUACCGAUGGCGAAGGCAGGUCUCUGGGCUGACACUGACGCUCAUGCACGAAAGCGUGGGGA
rnacentral:rRNA from 1 species